GUGCCAGCAGCCGCGGUAAUACGAAGGGUGCUUGCGUUAAUCGGAAUUACUGGGCGUAAAGCGCGCGUGGGUGGAAGGUUAAGUUGGAUGUGAAAGCCCCGGGCUCAACCUGGGAACUGCAUCCAAAAUUGGCGAGCUAGAGUAUGGCAGAGGGUGGUGGAAUUUCCUGUGUAGCGGUGAAAUGCGUAGAUAUAGGAAGGAACACCAGUGGCGAAGGCGACCACCUGGGCUAAUACUGACACUGAGGUGCGAAAGCGUGGGG
rnacentral:rRNA from 1 species